ensembl:lncRNA
UUUAAAGAAGUUUAUAAGUAAUGAAUUAAUUUAAUCCCUUUCGAACCAUAUGAGGCAAGAAUUUAUAACUUUCCCUUGUUUUCAGUUGAGACACAGAGAGGACUGAGAAACUUGCCCAAGGUCACACAUUUGGAAAUGGCACAGUGGGCUUUGGACCCAGGCAUUCUGGUUCUAGAACCUUCAGUCAAGACUUAGGGGUCAUGGUGCAUAAUUUUUUUUUUUUUUAAUGAAUAAAGAAGAAUGGAGACAUAUGAGACUAAAAACAAGGGAAUAAAGAAGAGGAGGGGUGGAAUGACGCCAAUGGAGCAAAGUAAGGAAGGGGAGAAAUAUCAACAGCUUCCAAUGCAACCAAGACACUAAUCACAUAGUAACAGAACGUUAACCGUUGGACUUGGCAACUGAAAGCUGACUCUCAUUACAAAGUCUCGGUCGGGUACCGGAGGAGGAGGUCCACGAUGGCGGCAUGAGGACUAAAGCAGAGGUGAUGAACGCAGAGUGCGAACUUCUGAGAUGCUGAAUGAGAGAAAUGUGAGUGUGUUUAUGGGCAGCUGAAAUGGAGCCAGCAGAGUGGGAAAGAUCUGUGCCUAAUCCCUAUUAGAAAAUCAUUGGGAAGACCACCAGAGCUGCCUAAAACAAAGAGGAAACAGCAGAGGCCUGUGCACAGUGGCAGAAGCCUGAAGCCGCUUCACCUGCUGCUCUGCAGUUUCCCACAGGCCACCUCGCCCUGGCAUUCCCGACAGACCCCGAUUCCAUAGUCAAAUGCUAGGGGCACAUCGGAAUCUUUUUUCUCUGACAAAACUGUCUGCUGAUGAAUUAAGUGUGAAUGAAUCAGAUACAGAUGGAGUGAGUUUCACUGAAAAUAAACAUGAAUUACAAAACUGGAAAAGGAAAAAUGCCCAAGGAAAAAUCACUGUGUGCCAAAUGAAAAUUGUUUGGAAUGUUAUUUUUUUUUUUACCUUGGCUCAAUCUUCCCAUCCAUCCCUCUGCCGUCCUUUAACUUGUUUCCAAUUUGUCUGGAGAAAUGAUAUUUUCAGUCCUUUGGGGACCUUGGGAACAGCUCUGGGGAAACCAUGGGGGUCAGAAUUGAUGGAAAGCAGUGAUACAAGAUGUGUAUAGGCAUUUUUCAGUCGGGACG